AUGAGGUCAAAGUCGUUAGCUCUUGGGUCAAGUGCUGUCACCCCCUUCUCUUUCCUUCCAGUUCUGUCGAGUGAAUGGUAAUCAUCUAAGCAUAUCACAGUGGUCAUAUCGCUAAUGAGCGUGUUUGAAUCAGGGUUGCCUCCCUUCGGUGGCUCGGCUGCACCACCAAACACACUUGUUAGCCUCCUCAUAAAGGUACUCUUCCCACAUCCUGAGUCUGCGGCCAAACCAAUCACAACUGUUUGUGAAUCACCGGCCGAGCAUGUUAUCACGCAUGGGCCGCUGCUGCUGCCGCUGCCACCUCUCUUGCUGCUUCUCCUAUAGAAAACUACUUGCUUUUGGUG
rnacentral:lncRNA from 1 species